ACCUACUAAGUUGACUAGGAAUAAUUCUAACCUAGUUAGAUAGUGACUUAUGAGUGGGUUAAAACACUUAAAUUAUGAACUAAGGAAAAUGGAGGGGCCAAACUUGUUAAACUUGAAACUUGAUUUAUUAAAAACAAAUUAAAACACACCAAAUACACACAAGAGUGUGUGUCUGGUCGUUCAAACACAGGGGGCGACACAAGGGAUCCCACAAACCCUAGUUCUUCCAAAAAUCCACCAAAUUGAGAGCUCAAAUUCAUUCUAAAUCAAUUCUCAAACACAAUUUCGUGAUCUCCAUUGAAAGGGGAGUCAUAAGUUUGACUCCUAACGAGCUAGAUGGAAGCUUGUGGAUGAAGCGGGUCAAACGGAGCAAGUACGGAAAGAAAAGCGUGGCAUGGAUGCAAGGAUGAACGGCUCGGGAAUUAGUGAAGCUAUGAAAUAGCAAAUAAAUGAAGACAAGGUAUUAAAAUGGGUCAAUAUGUUGAUCCGAGCCAGGUACGCAUAAUUAUGUUGUGGUUAAAAGUGUUAUUUUUGGUCAAAUAAUUAGUGAGAGACUUCGUCUUAAAAUAAGAGACUAGAAUUGACCAAAAAGCCCUUGAUGGGUAAAUCGGGUAAACGACCGUUAGAGUUUGUUUAGAAACUUGUUUAUUGAUUUUGAAACCCUUAGAUACAUAUAAAAAGUAUAGGCAAAAACGUUUGCGGGUCAAAGUAGACUAAGAAGUAAAUUGUGGUUAAAUGCUUAGAUAGAUACAAAUGAAUCGGUGAAUGUGAACACCUACGUAAACUCUAGGAUGGGAGCGAAAACGUUAAGGUUUGACAAGCCCGGGAUGGGUAAAAUGAUAUGAAUUAACCAUUUUCUUUU